rnacentral:lncRNA from 1 species
AAGAAACGAUGGCAAGAAGUUUGAUGGCACUAGGUGGUGGUGGUGGCGGCGGUGGCGGAGAGCAAGUAGGCAUGGUGGCUUCAAGCUCUGGGGCGCUGCUCUUGCUAUGCAUGAUCAUCAUGUCUGUCUCUAUUAUAUCCAUGGUCAUAUUUGCUUGUGGGGAUACUUCUACUUCACCUCGCAAGAAACAAAGGAAGGAUUUCAAAUGUGACGAUUGUGAUUGUUUUUCUCUUUGUUUUGGGGAUGGUGAUGGUGGUGGUGACGGUGGUGGUGAUGGUGGUGGUGGUCAUGGUGGUGAUGGUGGUGGUGGUCAUCAUGGUGGUGGUGGUCAUCAUGGUGGUGAUGGUGGUGGUGGUCAUCAUGGUGGUGGUGGUCAUCAUGGUGGUGGUGGUCAUCAUGGUGGUGAUGGUGGUGGUGGUCAUCAUGGUGGUGGUGGUCAUGGAGGUGGUCAUGGAGGUGGUCAUGGUGGUGGUCAUGGUGGUGGUCAUGGUGG